rnacentral:rRNA from 1 species
GUGGGGAAUUUUGGACAAUGGGCGCAAGCCUGAUCCAGCAAUGCCGCGUGCAGGAAGAAGGCCUUCGGGUUGUAAACUGCUUUUGUACGGAACGAAAAGGUCUGGGUUAAUACCCUGGGCUCAUGACGGUACCGUAAGAAUAAGCACCGGCUAACUACGUGCCAGCAGCCGCGGUAAUACGUAGGGUGCGAGCGUUAAUCGGAAUUACUGGGCGUAAAGCGUGCGCAGGCGGUUUUGUAAGACAGGCGUGAAAUCCCCGGGCUCAACCUGGGAAUGGCGCUUGUGACUGCAAAGCUAGAGUGAGGCAGAGGGAGAUGGAAUUCCGCGUGUAGCAGUGAAAUGCGUAGAUAUGCGGAGGAACACCGAUGGCGAAGGCAAUCCCCUGGGCCUGCACUGACGCUCAUGCACGAAAGCGUGGGGAGCAAACAGGAUUAGAUACCCCGGUAGUCC